AUGCGUUCUGUGGUUUACCAUGGAACAGUGCCUCGAGGAACAUCUCAGUCUCUCCCCGUGGUCAGUCCCCCAACCCCAAGCUGCCCUCACCCUUUCUCUUUCUUUCCUUCUUCCGCUCUGCCACCCCCGAGCUGCCCCUUCUCCUCCGUCUCUGCCCCUGAGCUUCCCUAACCCUUUCUCUCCUUCUCCUUCGUCUCUACCCCCGAGCUGCCCUCGCCCUUUCUCUUUUUCUUUCUCUUUCUCUUUCUCUUUCUCAUCCAAAAGAUCUAUUCCAUCCUCACAUGCAAAUCCUCCUCACCGUCGUGGUAUGUGCCGUCGUAGUAGCCGUUCAUCCGAUUGCUGACUUCUUAGUCACGAUAACCCUUAGACUCGCCAUCUCCAUUGUCAAUUGUGUUCUGCCUUUCAUCAUUUUGAUCCCCUUGCACAUCUGUCGGCAAAAACAACCAUUCAAUUUUGUGUUACUCAGUUUCCUUAUGGUUUCCAUAAGCUUCCUCAUGGGCUUCACUUGUGCCUUCAUCAACGGAAACGUAAAGGGAUGAAAGGCGCCAUUCUACUGCAAAAACUCUAUCAAUUGGACAACCAGAGACUACACCUGUUUAGAAAGAAAGAGAUGCCUGAAAGACGAUGGCAUGGUUGGGGCAAGAAACCAGUGAGGCAGCAAGAGAAGCCCCUCGGAAUCGAGCCAUGGCAUCAACAAGAGAAGAUAAUGAAGGGUCAACCAUUGAGAUUGAAGAUCAGAAGGUGUCGCCCCCGGUGAAAGAAGUACAUGGUUAGGAUGAAAACAGUCAAAAUAAAAAAGUGAAAGGAGGCCUACCAUUACAAUCUAUGCAUGGGAGAGAUGCUUUUGGCAACUGUGGAACUUUGCCACUCAUUAAAAAUCUGAGGUACACUGCUUUCUUGUCCUUUAGAGUUGAUAGACUUCUACGCAACCUAUAACGCGCGGCGUUUGGGUGGAGCGGGUCGGGUCAGGGUCCAGACCCGGACCCUAGCCCCACGCGAGAGGAGCCCGACGCGAGGGCCCUUCUCCCUCGCGUCUCCCUUUUCUUCCUCGUCGCCUUCUUGCUUCCGUGUCGCCCGUGUGAGACCAGGAGGAGGACGAGGGAGCAGUGGCGACGCUUGAGCCGGCGGAGGAAGGAACGGCGGCGGCGUCGGUGUCGGCAGUUGGGUAAGCCCUCAACCUCUCCCUAACUCUUCCUUCUUCCUUCUUCUCCUUCUCCCUCUCCCACUGUCACUCGUCUCCUUCUCCCACUGUCACUCGUCUCCCUCUCCACCGAACGACUCUCCUCAUUCUCCACCGUCUCUCUCUUCUCUCCCGUCCUCUCCCCUCACUGCCUUCUUUUCCCCUUUUGACCGAACCCUCUCCCCAUUUUCUGCUCGUUUUCUAUUUUCUCCAAUCAAGCACUUUUUCUCACUGAUUUUUCACUAUUUCAUCACUGUUGGAUCCGUUUUCAGCUUGGGGAUUUGUCCUCCCCCUCGUAACAGCAGUUAGAGGAGGCCUUGGUAGUGGAGGCAUUGGAGGAUUUUAGCCGUUUGGGGACCACUUGGGCACGUGAGGUGGCUGCCGGGAGGAUUACAGCAGUUUAGACCUUCAAUCGGGGUGAGCAAGGCGAAAUUGAACCUAUUUUAUGAUAUAUUUUUCUUUGGAACGCGUAUAAUUAUUGUUUGAGCAUGCUAGAGCUUAGAAUUGAUUAUUUGGAACACAUGUUAGUGAUUUCGUUUUUGGGGGAAAGCUUGCGAUUAUGUUGGGAAGCGAAGAUUCAUAUUUUGGAUGAUCAUUUAAGCAUGAUAGAUUAAUUUUCGAAGCAUUAGGGGAAACAUGGUAGAGUUUGUGAGGUUGUGGGGAAGAUUUAGGACCGUUUUAGUGAGCUUGUAGCACGCGUUUUUGUGAACGGGUGCAUCUUGGAGUUAAAUAGGGAUAACGUACAUAAGUUGGAUGUAUCUUUGGGGUAGACGCCUUGAUUUAAGAAAAAAGGAGUUUUGAGAAAGGCGUUAGUGAUAGACGAAUUGAUGGCUUUGAGUUUUGGCAUCUAUUGGCACGGCUAGAAGUGGGAAGUGACCCUUUUGGAGAACUUGUGGGUUGACACUACCCGUCGACACCCUCUCGAGGCGAUGACACGUGCCUCAAUGAUUUUGUUUUGUUUUUGUUUGAAUUGUUGAGGUAUGAAGUAGGAAUCUUAUCUUGUGUUUGUGUCUGCAGGUACACCGGGUACAUCCCGUCGACCUUGAGCUACCGGAUUCGAAGCUCGAGGCAUUUUGAAGAUUCUUGUGAACGCGCCACAGGUAUGGCGACAUUCCAGGCAAAUCCCUGCCUGGGCAAGUGAAUGAAUGUGUGUUCCUAGGAUCAUGGGAUCCUAGGAUUUGUGAUAUGAAUUGAUUGAGCGUUCCGUGAAUGAAUAUGUGUAUGCAUGUACAUAAAUUGAUAUAUGAUAUGAAUUGUUUUGAAAGGCUUAUAGUAAUUGUUUUGAUAAUGUUACGCAUUUUCAUGUGCAUGUUAGAAUUGAUAACUGUUUAGGACAGAUGAGGCGGGGUAUCGAGUCGAGUGUCUCCUCGACCCCAAUUGUGCAUUAGAAAACAUUCUAGAAUGAUAACUGCAUAGGACAGCUACGAGCCCACCACAGAUUGAGACUACUCUCUGUGGUUUGGCUAAGUUUUUAAAGAUGUAAUUGUAUGAUGAUGAAUGUGAAUGUUAUGUUUAUUGAAUACCCAUUGCCGCGGGCAAUGAUGCAAAUGUUUGCACAGUGGGUAGUUGUACCCAUAUUGUUACGACGGCUAGCCAAAACUGUUGUGGUUAUGUGUAACCCUCGUGUGGAGGCAAUUGGAGGUGUGGGUUCACUCGUGAAGUGAACCAACCUCAGGAGCUAGCCAGUUAAAUGUGUUUGUGCAAGUAUAAGUAUAAGAAUGAAAGAAUAAGAGAUGAGAGGCCAGUGGGAUGUGACUAUGUAUAUGGGAGUUGUCCCGCUUUCGCCACUGGUCUCGCCUGUUCGGAGCGCAGGCGGUGCAAGGCCCCAGGGUACUGUUGUGUGAUGUGCUUGGAGCAUAGGCUCCCGCCUUCCCAACCUGGGUGUCCUAGGGAAGGCUGAGUAUCUCUCCUUGGAAUUCACAUAUCCAUGGAUGAGUGCUCUACCGCUGCAGCGGAUAGAUGGAUCCAUACUGUUCUGGGCCACCACGGGGGUUGUCUCUCGGUUGUGGGCCGCCCGCGGUGUGCACGUGCCUGUGUUUGCACCCACAGGAACUGUAAAUUCACUGAUAGUAAUGAAACUGCAAUGUAUGUGAUUGAAAUGUAUAGGAUUGUUGUGCAUGUGACUGUUGUGCUUAUGAAUGCAAGUGACAUGAUGAUGCCUUGCAUGUGAUUGAAAUUAUGUUAUUGUAGCCAUUGAGUGGCGUCUGCAUGUCGUGUCUUGACACGACAUAAUGAUAGAUUGUUCUGAUGUUUGUUUGUGUACUGAGCCCGACCUAAGAGGGCUUGGACUUUUCCUGGCUUGUUGCCAUACUGCGAAGGCUAAGCCUUCGGUUGUUUCUUUUUUUCAGGUUUUGGUGUACCCGGGGCAGCAGGCUGAGCAGAUGGCUACACUCACGUCCUACUGGGGAGAUUUUGGGUUUUGUUUUGUUCUUGUAGUGCCGGCGCGUCGGGUUUUUGGUUUUACUGAUGCCUUGUUUUUUAUUAGGCAUCGAUGUUGUGAUUUUGGGGCAUUUUUGUCAAAUGUACAAUUGAAUUGAAAUGCUAUAUAAUGGAAAGCUUGCCCCAUUGUUUUGAAUUGUUUGGCUCAUUCCUUUUUGAACUAUUGUGUAGUCACACCUCGAUGUUGGAUGUUAGAAAAAAAAUGUUUGAGUGUCAAAAAGGUCGGGGUGUGACACAACCCAUUCCAGCCAUCCUCAAUCAGAUUAGGUCUUCUUGGAUGGAAGAUGGAGGUGCCAGAGUGAUGUUUCAUAGCGUGCAAGAACAUUUGUGAUGAUGAACUAGGUAGAAGCAGCAUUCGGUUAUGGAAGAGAACUGCUCUAGAAAUGGAAAUGAAGCAGGCUGUAGUGGGGAUGCUGGUGUCUAGGUUGCCAUAGAACAAGCAGGGUCGCACAUCACUAUGACUGCUCUUAAACCUGUCCUAGACCCUUUAUCUAAAUUCUUCCAUGGUGAAGGUUAAAAGGUCGACCUCUCCAUGGCUUCCCUCACGUACCUCGAGUGGAGGAGGAAGCUGCAGAUGGCUAGGGAAGAGCAACCCUGGCCAUUAAACUUAUGUUUGGACCAUUGAUGUUGUCAUUCUAUCCAACAUCAUUUAAGCUGCACUGGGGGCAGGGGAAAUCUCCGCAAAAAGGGUGAUGAUGAACAUUAUCUCACCAAGUGGCUAGAGACGUUCAGUGCUGCGCAUGUUCUUACCACAGCUAAGGACCAAUUUUGACGAUGUUAGGCAGAGAUUUUUUCAGUCACCAGAUUUUUUUCGGAAAAGUUACCUGAGCACUUCAAGAAGGAAGGACACAUGCCCUUGCUUGAUUAUCAUGCGAAAAAGAUACUUAGAUGUCAACUUAUAAAGGAUAUGGAGUCUACUCUUGUCUUGCAAACAUCUAAAGAGGCAGCCACCUCAGAAGUUACAGAAGUAGUGAAGCAACGUGCAGAGAAUUUUUGUGUUGCAACCUUCACUUAUUAUACAACAGACAGGGGCUGGAAAUAGGAAUUAUGGUUGCAAUGUUGAGGCAGUCGUUUGUCAUUUUAGUGCACAAAUCCGAUUUCUAUGGGAAGUGAUAUAGUCUUGCAUUUCUCUUGAAUAUAAAAGUAUGGAGGAAUUAUGUAUGCCGACUACCACCACAGCAAGAAAGCAUGUCGACAAACGUUUUCGCGUGGCAGCACGGCCACUUGUCCUUGCCGCAAGCCUCCUGUUUAAUUUACUGAAUCUAAUGUUUGCAGCAGUCUUGAAUGCCAUUGGAGGAGUCACAAGGAGAAGGGGCCUUAGCUUGCUUGCGCCAAGGCAGGGCAAGUUUGGAUACGGAAGUUUCAAGCCUCGAGUGUUCAUUAAUGACUUCAACAUGACACUCAAACGAGAAAAGAGGGGUCAUCCGAGAGCAGCGCAGAAGUUAGGAGAGAGGCAGAAGCUGACCCAAAGAGAGUUUGACUGAGAGAUUGCCUUCCAUAUUCACACCUGGAGGAGGACAAGGAGCUGCUGCGGAGGUGUGCUGAGAGACGACAAAAAAAAUAUGCCCUACCGGGGCAGAAAUUUUGUCCGCGGAUCAUUGUCGGACCAGUUCAGGUCGGACAGAAAAUCGCGGACAAAGGUUCAGUUACACAAACUUGACUCAGUUAAGCUCGAUAGGCUCAUUUUUAGAGGUUUUCUUUUAGGGAUGCUUAUAGAUAAUAUCACCCCAAGGAAUGAGGGUUUUUGGAAAAUCCACCUUCAUUUGCCUUGAUCUCUCGUGGAGCUCUAUCGCCGAAAGCGAUAGGGAGAGUGAGAGAAAGAGUCUACAUGUCAAUCUUCUUCGAUUCUUUGGAGAUAUAAAGUCAAUAAGGCCUGACAUUAAAGGACGGAACCAAAAAAAUUUCACUAAGGCUAAAAUAUCAUUUUUUUUUUAAUUUUUAUAUAAAACAAGUGAAAUUGUUUAAAAAUUUAUAUGUAAUUUCUUUCCCUGACGAAACCAGAAAUUUUUCACAAAUUUUUACUAAAGCUAAAAUAUCAAUUUUUAAAAUUUUUAUAUAAAACAAGUUAAAUUGUUUAAAAAUUUAUAUGUAAUUUUUUAAAAAAAAAUUAAGGUGGAGCCCCAAACCCUACCGUGGCUUUGCCCCUGACAAUGAAGGGGCUUUUUUUGCUGGAAAAACCCCAGUCCAUGGUGACUUUGAGGGCUGGAGACAGGAAGCUCCAAUGAGGUGGAGGUCGACGAGUGGUAUAACUCCCUUAGCCGAUCUGUGUAUAUGGAAGCUUUGGCAACAGCUAGCCCUCCUGCUCGAGCAAGUCCUUGCGCUGGCGGUUCUCCACAUGUUGAGGGUCCAACGAUUGAACAACAAACCCGGAGUUGGGGUCCUGCAGAGGGCGAACCGCAAUAUGUGUGAAGGCUAGAUCGCCGGAAAGGACGUCGGUCUCGGGUUCCGGUUGUGGGUCGGGUGCUCUUCUUCUUCUUCUGCAGGGAGGGAGAGAGAGAGGAUGCCGCCGCCGGAGAAGGCGACGGAGGAUCGAAGCGAGGAGGGUGGGGACCGUGGGAGGUUAUGGAAGGUCCUUCUUUUUGGUACUAUCGGAGCCACCGUUGCCACCACCUUCGCGGUUGCACAAUUGCGGCAGACAAUGACUUGGUUCUCUAAUCAGCUGAGCAGGUCGCCUUUAUAUGAAUCAUGGCGGAGUGCUAUUAGUGGCUUCAGUCCUAGAAGUUUCAGAGAAGAAGCUUGGAAAAAAACUAGCCGCCGCAUGCAAGAAGAGUAUGAAGAUGAAAUGGAAAGAGUGGAAAGAAUAAGACGAAUGCAAAGUGUUUUCAAUUGAGAAAGAAAUAAAUAUAAGAGAAGCUAUGAGAGCUGGAAAGAUAGUGGCCCAGGGGCUUAUCAACAAUUUCAGCGGGAUUAUUGGUAUUGGAAGACUGACACGACCUACAAACACCAAAGAACCAAUUCAGGAGCUGCUCGCAGGGAAAGCGGAAUUCAUGCAUUGUCACACCAUUACUCUAUUUUGGGCCUUGAUAGGUUUAGGGCAAAGCCUUGCACAGAGGAGGAGAUUAAGGUAUUUAAGCUCAUUUCUU